UGCGCCCCUGGAAUCAUUCCGUGCCUGGCUGCUAAUUGGUGUAUAUUCCUUGUAUUCCAAGGACGCGGUGCUGAUGUUGUUCCUCCAGAUGCGUAGUCGCUGCCACCGCAAGAAAGAUGACAACAUACUGCUGCUAGGUUACUCCACACGCCCUGUAUGCCGGUCAAUGGUGCGCCCCUGGGAUCGUUUCGUGCCUGACUGCUAAUUGAUGUAUUUUCCUUGUAUGAAGGACAAGAUGCUGGUGCUGUUCCUCCAGAUGCGCCGUCGCUGCCACCGCGAGAAAGAUCCCGACUGCUACUGCCAGUUGACCCCCCAUGCUGAUGUGCACUGCUCAAUCUACUAUGCACCUUUGUUGAUUGCGAUAAUCUGUGCUGGCUGCUAUGAAGCUUGGUGUGGGCUAAGCAAUUUCAAGUAGUGCCCACUUCCCCUCGACAAGAAAUGCAUUGCAGAAGUAAUAGUAACUGGACAAGCUUUAAAAAAGAUGUUUGUUGAUGCAUACCACACGGUAUAUAUAAGCGUUGUAGUAGCUUUAGUGCAUUUUAAUGAUUGUUCAUCUUUGCGAUUGUAUUGAGUUUCUGUCGCGGCAACCUGUGUGAUGGCCUACAAUAUUUUCAUGGGGAUUCCUGAGCCAUCGACCAGGUUUAACUUUUAGGCAGAGUC